GAUGAACGCUGGCGGCGUGCCUAAUGCAUGCAAGUCGAGCGAACAGACGAGGAGCUUGCUCCUUUGACGUUAGCGGCGGACGGGUGAGUAACACGUGGGUAACCUACCUAUAAGACUGGGAUAACUUCGGGAAACCGGAGCUAAUACCGGAUAAUAUUUCGAACCGCAUGGUUCGAUAGUGAAAGAUGGCUCUGCUAUCACUUAUAGAUGGACCUGCGCCGUAUUAGCUAGUUGGUAAGGUAACGGCUUACCAAGGCAACGAUACGUAGCCGACCUGAGAGGGUGAUCGGCCACACUGGAACUGAGACACGGUCCAGACUCCUACGGGAGGCAGCAGUAGGGAAUCUUCCGCAAAGGGCGAAAGCCUGACGGAGCAACGCCGCGUGAGUGAUGAAGGUCUUCGGAUCGUAAAACUCUGUUAUUAGGGAAGAACAAACGUGUAAGUAACUGUGCACGUCUUGACGGUACCUAAUCAGAAAGCCACGGCUAACUACGUG
rnacentral:rRNA from 1 species